rnacentral:tRNA from 1 species
GGUCGCGUGGCCGAGCGGUUAGGCAGAGGUCUGCAAAACCUUGUACAGCGGUUCGAAUCCGCUCGCGACCUCCA